rfam:Rattus norvegicus chromosome 14, whole genome shotgun sequence.
GGGGAUUUAGCUCAGUGGUACAGCGCUUGCCUAGCAAGCACAAGGCCCUGGGUUCGGUCCCCAGCUCCA